rnacentral:rRNA from 1 species
CCUACGGGGGGCAGCAGUGGGGAAUAUUGGACAAUGGGGGGAACCCUGAUCCAGCCAUGCCGCGUGUGUGAAGAAGACCCUCGGGUUGUAAAGCACUUUCAGUGAGGAAGAACGCCUGGUGGUUAAUACCCAUCAGGAAAGACAUCACUCACAGAAGAAGCACCGGCUAACUCCGUGCCAGCAGCCGCGGUAAUACGGAGGGUGCGAGCGUUAAUCGGAAUUACUGGGCGUAAAGCGCGCGUAGGUGGCUUGAUAAGCCGGUUGUGAAAGCCCCGGGCUCAACCUGGGAACGGCAUCCGGAACUGUCAAGCUAGAGUGCAGGAGAGGAAGGUAGAAUUCCCGGUGUAGCGGUGAAAUGCGUAGAGAUCGGGAGGAAUACCAGUGGCGAAGGCGGCCUUCUGGACUGACACUGACACUGAGGUGCGAAAGCGUGGGUAGCAAACAGGAUUAGAUAUCCUAGUAGUC